AGUCGACACCUACGGGAGCAGCAGUGGGGAAUAUUGCACAAUGGGGGAAACCCUGAUGCAGCAACGCCGCGUGAAGGAAGACGGUUUUCGGAUUGUAAACUUCUGUUCUUAGUGAAGAUAGUGACGGUAGCUAAGGAGCAAGCCACGGCUAACUACGUGCAGCAGCCGCGGUAAUCUGAGCGGGCUGGCAAGGC
rnacentral:rRNA from 1 species